GACGAACGCUGGCGGCGGGCUUAACACAUGCAAGUCGAACGGAAAGACCCUGCUUCUGUGGGGUUCUCGAGUGGCGAACGGGUGAGUAACACGUGAGUAACCUGCCCUUGGCUUUGGGGUAACUUCAGGAAAAUAGGGUUAAUACCGGAUAGUAGCGCCUGCAGCACGGUGGGGGUUGGAAAGUUUCGGCGGUUGGGGCUGGACGCGCGGCUUAUCAGCUUGUUGGGGGGGUAGUGGCUUACCACGGGUUUGACGGGCAGCCCGCCUGGGAGGGGGGCCGGCCACAUUGGGCCUGCGAUACGGCCCAGACUCCUACGGGAGGCAGCAGUGGGGAAUAUUGCACAAUGGGCGGAUGCCUGAUGCGGCAACGCCGCGUGCGGGAUGUCGGCCUUCGGGUUGUAAACCGCUUUCGCCUGUGACGAAGCGUGAGUGACGGUAAUGGGUAAAGAAGCACCGGCUAACUACGUG
rnacentral:rRNA from 1 species